rnacentral:rRNA from 1 species
AACGAACGCUGGCGGCAGGCUUAACACAUGCAAGUCGAACGCCCCGCAAGGGGAGUGGCAGACGGGUGAGUAACGCGUGGGAACGUGCCCUUCGCUUCGGAAUAGCCCCGGGAAACUGGGAGUAAUACCGAAUACGCCGUAUUGGGAAAGAUUUAUCGGCGAAGGAUCGGCCCGCGUUAGAUUAGCUAGUUGGCGGUGUAAUGGACCACCAAGGCUACGAUCUAUAGCUGGUCUGAGAGGAUGAUCAGCCACGCUGGGACUGAGACACGGCCCAGAGUCCUACGGGAGGCAGCAGUGGGGAAUCUUGGACAGUGGGCGCAAUCCUGAUCCAGCCAUGCCGCGUGAGUGAAGAAGGCCUUAGGGUUGUAAAACUCUUUCGCCGGAGAAGAUAAUGACGGUAUCCGGAGAAGAAGCCCCGGCUAACUUCGUGCCAGCAGCCGCCGUAAGAC